AUUGAACGCUGGCGGCAGGCCUAACACAUGCAAGUCGAGCGAGCGGCGGACGGGUGAGCAAUGUAUGGGGACUGCCCGAUAGAGGGGGAUAACUACUGGAAACGGUAGCUAAUACCGCAUACUAUCGGAUAACCCAUAUGGGAUUAGCUAGUAGGUGAGGUAAUGGCUCACAAAGGCAACGAUCCGUAGCUGAUUUGCGAGGACGACCAGCCACACUGGAACUGAGACACGGCACAGACUCCUACGGAGGCAGCAGUGGGGAGUUUUGGACACUGGGGGAAACCCUGAUCCAGCCAUCCCGCGUGUAUAGUGAGGGCCUUCGGGUUUUAAAGUACUUUUGGCAGAGUAGCGGUGUCUGCAGAAUAAGCACCGGCUAACUACGUGCCAGCAGCCGCGGUAAUAC
rnacentral:rRNA from 1 species